rnacentral:tRNA from 1 species
UGUGGCUCAGUGGUGGAGCUCUUGCCUAAGAUGCAUGAGGCACUGGGUUCGAUCCCCAGCA